UCUUCUCCUCUUCCGUCGCCGCCGAACCAACCCUAGCUAGCUGCCUACCUCGGAUCAGUCCGGCUGCGAGAGGCCACCGGCGGCAUGGCUGCGUGCGAUGCGAGCGCUCUAAUCGGAUCAAAUCAGAUAGAUCUGACCGAAUCCCGCCGCCGCGCCAGCCCCGCUCCCCGUGGCCGAUGACCGCGUCGGCUGGGGCCGCGUCCCUCCCCGGACGGCUGCGAUGAUGGAGGAACCCGCCGGCGCCGGCCAGGCUCCCGAGCGGCCGACGCGCCGGGUCGCCGCUCCUCGGGGCCAUCCCCUCCCGCCGCGCCGGCUCGGCUACCCCUCUGGGAUGCCGCCGGUGCUGGGGAACGUCCGCGGCGGCGCGGCCUGGGGACCGAGCGGCGGGGCCCGUGGUGCUCUCCGGUCGAGGGCUUGGUCGGGCGAGCUCUCGUUGCCGGAUCGCUGACCCAUCGUCCCGGUGGCCGCUGCGUCAGUUCCGCACCGCUACGGAGCCGCCAGCCGCCGCCGUUCCAUUGCCUUGGAUUCGGUUGUGGCGUGGGCCGGAACCGUGCUCUGUUGUCUGAUGCGUUGUUCGAGCCGGGAGGUUUGGUCGGUCGAGGCCAGGCAUGAGCAGCUCCUGAGCAGGAUGGAUGGAUGGAUGCAUUCAUGUGUCGUGAACUAAAACCACGACUCCUAUUUUGGAACGGAGGGAGUAUGUAUGUAUGGAUAUCAUGGUCAUGUUGCUUGGUGUGGGGGUUGAACCUCCUUUUUUGAAAAAAAAAGAGGGGCAAUGAUGAUGAUGACGACGACGAUGGCUGAAAUAAUCAUGUCUUGAGCAAUCAAGACAGUCGUGGCGUGGUGGUACUAAACAGAGCCGAAAAAUCGGUGUCUGCGUUGGAGUUGGCCUUAGAGCCCACCCUCGCCUCUCUUGCAGCCUGUCUAAUUUAUCGCUGAUGUUGGAUGCUUUGUGCCUCGGACGGUCAUUCUGUUGAGUGAUAACCAUGGCAGUUCUCUUGCAUCGUGAUGGGUAGAUUAUGCAGCAAGAGAUUGUGAGGGUUGGGCUUGAAGAUGGAAGACAAAACUGAGCCUCUUUU